ACGGAUGGUCAAUUUCGUCUAUUGAGAAGUUCUCCAGGAACUCUUGGGCCACGGACGACCAAUCUUGUCUACUGGGAGAUUCUCCAGGAACUCCUAGGCCACGGACAACCGUUCUUGUCUACUGGGAGAUUCUCCAGGAACUCUUAGGCCACGGACAACCGUUCAUGCCUACUAGGAGGUCCACAAAUGAGCAACACCUAGAAGCACGCUCCCC
rnacentral:lncRNA from 1 species